UACGGAGGGGGCUAGCGUUGUUCGGAAUUACUGGGCGUAAAGCGCACGUAGGCGGCUACUCAAGUCAGAGGUGAAAGCCCGGGGCUCAACCCCGGAACGGCCUUUGAAACUAGGUAGCUAGAAUUCUGGAGAGGUCAGUGGAAUUCCGAGUGUAGAGGUGAAAUUCGUAGAUAUUCGGAAGAACACCAGUGGCGAAGGCGACUAUCUGGACAGAAACUGACGCUGAGGCGCGAAAGCUAGGGGAGCAAACAGG
rnacentral:rRNA from 1 species